rnacentral:rRNA from 1 species
AUUGAACGCUGGCGGCAGGCCUAACACAUGCAAGUCGAGCGGAGCGGCGGACGGGUGAGUAAUGCCUAGGUAUCUGCCUGGUAGAUGGGGAUAACGUCCGGAAACGGGCGCUAAUACCGCAUACUAUCAGAUGAGCCUAGGUCGGAUUAGCUAGCUGGUGGGGUAAGGGCCUACCAAGGCGACGAUCCGUAACUGGUCUGAGAGGAUGACCAGCCACACUGGAACUGAGACACGGUCCAGACUCCUACGGGAGGCAGCAGUGGGGAAUAUUGGACAAUGGGCGAAAGCCUGAUCCAGCCAUGCCGCGUGUGUGAAGAAGGUCUUCGGAUUGUAAAGCACUUUAAGUUGGGAGGCGUUACCAACAGAAUAAGCACCGGCUAACUUCGUGCCAGCAGCCGCGGUAAUUC